rnacentral:rRNA from 1 species
UACGAAGGGGGCUAGCGUUGUUCGGAUUUACUGGGCGUAAAGCGCACGUAGGCGGAUCGAUCAGUCAGGGGUGAAAUCCCAGAGCUCAACUCUGGAACUGCCUUUGAUACUGUCGAUCUGGAGUAUGGAAGAGGUGAGUGGAAUUCCGAGUGUAGAGGUGAAAUUCGUAGAGAUCGGGAAGAACAUCGGUGGCGAAAGCGCUCUGCUGGACUGCAACUGACACUGAGGUGCGAAAGCGUGGGGAGCAAACAGG